rfam:Schistosoma margrebowiei strain Zambia genome assembly, scaffold: SMRZ_scaffold0001393
GACCUUCUGAAUCCAUGCAGAGAUUUCUUCAGACACCAACCCAUUAGAGCUGACCAGACUUCCGAGAUAAGUGAAGUU